GUGAGGGUGUGACGGAGGUGCCCACGUGCCCGGCCCGCCCGUGUUACGGCCGCCUACCGGCUGCAGAGGAGAAGGGAGGAAAGAGUGGAAUCUCAACACAAGUGGUAGGCAACUUUGAAAACAAUAAAUAGAUGAAGAAUGGAGCGACCCCAAAAGGAGAGUCUGGGAACCCUAGCCAAAGGGUCUGGCUCUGUCAUCCAGACUGGAAUGCAGUGUUGGAGUCACAGCUCACUGCAGCCUCAACCUCUCAGGCUCAAGUGAACCUCUCACCCCGGCUUCCCAGACACAUGCUACCAUGUGGCCCUCCCUACUCAACCUCAGUAUAUCUUUACUGAAAAACACAUGCCAAAGAACAACACCUAGAGAGCUGGAAACCCUGGAAAAGAUUUUGUGAUGCCC